rnacentral:misc_RNA from 1 species
UCUUUGGCUCACUUGGAUCCAUUGGCUUCACGGGAGACUGGAAUGCGGAUGCCACUGAUACCGCCGGAGUCUUCAACAAGAACCUCGGCACGAUCGGACUCAACAACACCAACACCAAUGGCAACGGCAUCGGCGAUAUCACCUUCAGCUUCGGGCAGAACGGCGAUAUUCCGCUCGCCGGUGAUUGGGACGGCCUACCGUAAAGCGCAGUUA